rnacentral:rRNA from 1 species
CAGCAGCCGCGGGAAUACGUAGGGUGCGAGCGUUAAUCGGAAUUACUGGGCGUAAAGCGUGCGCAGGCGGUUGUGUAAGACAGGUGUGAAAUCCCCGGGCUUAACCUGGGAACUGCGCUUGUGACUGCACAGCUAGAGUAUGGCAGAGGGGGGUGGAAUUCCACGUGUAGCAGUGAAAUGCGUAGAGAUGUGGAGGAACACCGAUGGCGAAGGCAGCCCCCUGGGCCAAUACUGACGCUCAUGCACGAAAGCGUGGGGAGCAAACAGGAUUAGAUACCCCUGUAGUCCCUGUCUCUUAUAU